GGGAUGACGUCAAAUCAUCAUGCCCCUUAUGACCUGGGCUACACACGUGCUACAAUGGGCGGUACAAAGGGCUGCGAACCCGCAGGGGGAGCGAAUCCCAAAAAGCCGCUCUCAGUUCGGAUUGCAGGCUGCAACUCGCCUGCAUGAAGCCGGAAUCGCUAGUAAUCGCGGAUCAGCAUGCCGCGGUGAAUACGUUCCCGGGCCUU
rnacentral:rRNA from 1 species